rnacentral:rRNA from 1 species
CCUGUCAAGCGCCGGAGUGGGACCCGUACGAUGUGCUCUCGUAGAGUCGGGCUGCUUGGGAGUGCAGCCUGAAGCGGGUGGUAAAUUCCAUCUAAAGCUAAAUACUGGCGGGAGACCGAUAGCGAACAAGUACCGUGAGGGAAAGAUGCAAAGAACUUUGAAAAGAGAGUUAAAGAGUGCUUGAAAUUGGCAGGAGGAAACCCGGUUGCGCGUGGCAUUUGGCGUGGUCGACUCAGCCGCGCGCGGAGAUCUGUAGGGGACCUAACGGCCUCGUGGUCAGCGCGCGCGGUGCACUUCGGCCGCGUCGGUCAGCCGCGUUUCUGCUUGGCCCAUACGGCCGCGGGCAGGGCUUCGGCGCCGCCUGCGGUUUGGGGGUCGCGCGGGAUCCCGGCUGAUGCGCACGGGCGCAACCGACCCGUCUAGAAACACGGACCAAGGAGUCUGACGCGUGUGCGAGUACUAGAGUGGCAAGCUCGAGUGCGCAAUGAAAGUGAAGGGCGUGCCCCGUCAACCGAUCUUGAUCUUCUGUGAAGGGUUUGAGUGGAGCACAUCUGUCGGGACCCGAAAGAUGGUGAACUAUGCCUGAGGAGGGUGAAGCCAGAGGAAACUCUGGUGGAGGCUCGUAGCGAUACUGACG